UGUAGCUGGAACAGAUAUAGUACAUUUCGUGCUGAAUAUUUUUGUUACCUUUUUAAAGUUUUUUGUGUUUGUUUGUUUGGUACAAAUGUUGUGUAAUUAUUGAAUGUUUACUUGGGUGUUGUAUAUUUUAUUUGUUUAACAAUUGGCAAUAGUGACACCUACUGGAGAAAAAUAAGUACCAUUGUAUGUGUUGGUCACAUGAUUUGAUAAGCAGCAGUGAGCAUUGAAAAGCACGAGGUGAUGACACAAACUGAGUGUAAGAUUGUAAGAAGAGUAAGAUUGAUUACUGUAAGACUGGUUAAUCAGAAGAACUCUAAUGUCUCCUGAAACCUGAUUGGGAAGCACACGUUUUUACGGCCCUCAAUUGAUGUUGUGAAGAGACAAAGAGUGAAUAUUAAGUUCUGAAGGCAUCAGUUGAAGCGUGUUUUUCUAGUCAUGAAGAAAAAAUGCAGGAGCCGUUAUAGUGAAAAACGUGUAUUCACACCCUCUGAAAAAGUGCAAGAAUUCAUCGUGGAAAAUGAAUAGUUGACAGCCCUCGUGGUGAUCAUGACCCCGAUGUAAAAUACCAGCCAUCAGUGGAGGUACAGAUGUCUUCAUUCAAGGGAGCAACGCGAUUUCGUCGCAUUGAAACGCCAUCAUUGCUUUCGCGUGACUGAAUUACUUUCUGUGUAGAAGAGCAGCGCAAGAAGAUAUUUUGCAGUUACAACUAAUAGCCACAAGGCGGCAACGUUGCAAAGUUUUGGACAAUUCAGUCAUCAAUAAGAGUUGACACCAUUGGAUUUAAAGGACGUCGCUCCACUUCCGGUUCCGUCCGAGGAGGACGUCGCUUCACUUCUUCCGCGGGGGGUUGCUGCAGGCCCAUGGCGAAGGAUCUUUCCCACCCUCCCACCCUUCUAUUCUGGUCAUCAGGAUGUGGUUCUGGCCACGGUGCGUCGGGGGUUAUGCGCAGCCCUUCAGGUCUGUGGAUGUCGAUCGGCCCUUCAGCUCGGCUGUAGACGUCACUCGGCCCUUCAGCUCGGCUGUGGAUGUCGCUCAGCCCUUCAGCUCAGCUAUGGAAGUCACGUGGCCCUCCUGCUCGGCUGUGGACGUCGCUCGGCCCUUCCGCUCGGCUGUGGACGUCAUUCGGCCCCUCUGCUCAGCUGUGGACGUCGCUCGGCCUUCGCUGGCUGUGCCGCCGUGAGCCUUGCUCCCCCCACCUACCUCGCCAUGUGCCUUGCUCCCCUCACCGGCCUCGCCGUGGACCUUGCUCCCCCCAUCUGCCUUCGCCGUGUUCCUCGCUCACUCAUCUGCCUUCG